rnacentral:rRNA from 1 species
AACGAACGCUGGCGGCAGGCUUAACACAUGCAAGUCGAGCGCCCCGCAAGUGGAGCGGCAGACGGGUGAGUAACGCGUGGGAAUCUACCCAUCUCUACGGAAUAACGCAUAGAAACGUGUGCUAAUACCGUAUACGUCCUUCGGGAGGAAGAUUUAUCGGAGAUGUAGGAGUGCGGCGUGGGAUAACAAGGUUGGUGGGGUUAGGGGCUACCAAGGCGACGUCCCAUAGCUGGUCUGAGAGGAUUGACAGCCACACUGGGGGUGGGAAACGGCCCAGAAUCCUACGGGAGGGAGCAGUGGGGAAUAUAGGAAAAUGGGCGCAAGCCUGAUCGAGCCAUGCCGCGUAAGUGAUGAAGGCCCUAGGGUUGUAAAGCUCUUGCACCGGUAAAGAUAAUGACGGUAACCAGAGAAGAAGCCCCGGCUAACUUCGUGCCAGCAGCCGCCGUAAUAC